rnacentral:rRNA from 1 species
CCUACGGGGGGCAGCAGUGGGGAAUAUUGCACAAUGGGCGCAAGCCUGAUGCAGCCAUGCCGCGUGUGUGAAGAAGGCCUUCGGGUUGUAAAGCACUUUCAGCGGGGAGGAAGGCGGUGAGGUUAAUAACCUCAUCGAUUGACGUUACCCGCAGAAGAAGCACCGGCUAACUCCGUGCCAGCAGCCGCGGUAAUACGGAGGGUGCAAGCGUUAAUCGGAAUUACUGGGCGUAAAGCGCACGCAGGCGGUCUGUCAAGUCGGAUGUGAAAUCCCCGGGCUCAACCUGGGAACUGCAUUCGAAACUGGCGGGCUAGAGUCUUGUAGAGGGGGGUAGAAUUCCAGGUGUAGCGGUGAAAUGCGUAGAGAUCUGGAGGAAUACCGGUGGCGAAGGCGGCCCCCUGGACAAAGACUGACGCUCAGGUGCGAAAGCGUGGGGAGCAAACAGGAUUAGAUACCCCUGUAGUC